GUAGGGGGCAAGCGUUGUCCGGAAUUAUUGGGCGUAAAGGGCGCGUAGGCGGAUAUUUAAGUCCGGUGUGAAAGAUCAGGGCUCAACCCUGAGAGUGCAUCGGAAACUGGAUAUCUUGAGGACAGGAGAGGAAAGUGGAAUUCCUAGUGUAGCGGUGAAAUGCGUAGAUAUUAGGAGGAACACCAGUGGCGAAGGCGACUUUCUGGACUGUAACUGACGCUGAGGCGCGAAAGCGUGGGGAGCAAACAGGAUUAGAUACCCUGGUAGUCCACGCUGUAAACGAUGAGUGCUAGGUGUAGAGGUAUCGACCCCUUCUGUGCCGCAGUUAACACAAUAAGCA
rnacentral:rRNA from 1 species